rnacentral:rRNA from 1 species
AAGCCCCAGUGAACGGCGGCCGUAACUAUAACGGUCCUAAGGUAGCGAAAUUCCUUGUCGGGUAAGUUCCGACCCGCAUGAAAGGCGUAAUGAUUUGGGCGCUGUCUCAACAAUAGACUCGGUGAAAUUUAAAUUCCAGUGAAGAUGCUGGGUACCCGCGACAGGACGGAAAGACCCCGUGGAGCUUUACUGUAGCUUGAUAUUGAAUGUUUGUGCUGCAUGUGCAGGAUAGGUAGGAGACUUUGAAGUCGGAACGCUAGUUUCGAUUGAGUCACCCUUGAGAUACUACCUCUGUUGUAUGAACGUUCUAACUCUGAUCAGUUAUCCUGAUCGAAGACAGUGUCUGGCAGGCAGUUUGACUGGGGCGGUCGCCUCCUAAAAGAUAACGGAGGCGCUCAAAGGUUUGCUCAGAAUGGUUGGAAAUCAUUCGUAGCGUGUAAAGGCAUAAGCAAGCUUGACUGUGAGACUGACAAGUCGAGCAGGUACGAAAGUAGGACUUAGUGAUCCGGUGGUUCCGUAUGGAAGGGCCAUCGCUCAACGGACAAAAGCUACCCCGGGGAUAACAGGCUCAUCUCCCCCAAGAGUCCACAUCGACGGGGAGGUUUGGCACCUCGAUGUCGGCUCAUCGCAUCCUGGGGCUGUAGUCGGUCCCAAGGGUUGGGCUGUUCGCCCAUUAAAGCGGUACGCGAGCUGGGUUCAGAACGUCGUGAGACAGUUCGGUCCCUAUCCGUCGUGGGCGCAGGAAAUUUGAGAGGAUCUGUCCUUAGUACGAGAGGACCGGGAUGGACAUACCUCUGGUGUACCAGUUGUUCUGCCAAGAGCACCGCUGGGUAGCUACGUAUGGAUUAGAUAAUCGCUGAAAGCAUCUAAGUGAGAAACUAACCUCGAGAUGAGAUUUCCCAUUCGUCAGAAGUAAGACCCCUGAGAGACGAUCAGGUAGAUAGGCUAGAAGUGGAAGUGUAGUGAUGCAUGGAGCGGACUAGUACUAAUAGGUCGAGGACUUAACCAAG